rnacentral:rRNA from 1 species
GUUAUAGGGUCAAGCGAACAAGUGCAUGUGGUGGAUGCCUUGGCGAUCACAGGCGAUGAAGGACGCGGUAGCCUGCGAAAAGCUACGGGGAGCUGGCAAACGAGCUUUGAUCCGUAGAUGUCC